rnacentral:rRNA from 1 species
AUGGCGUCGGACGGGGGAGACGAGGGACAUCGUCGUCCGCCGCCUCUUGGCCUCCGAGGCCCGACUCGCGCUGCCUUCCUUCCUCGUUCCGGCGAUGGCGGCGGCCUUCCUCCACUUCGUACUCGUCAUGGCGGCGGCCUUCCUCCACUCGGUCUUGCAGGUCGAGGACCACUGCCGUCGUUCUCCAUUGGAACGGCUGCCUCUACACCGGUGUCCAGCCCCAGCGUCGGAGGGAGACGCCGCGUCGGUCUGUCGCGCCCACCUCGAUCUCCUUCUCCAAAUCAGGCAGGCUCGUCGAACUGGGCCACCUCGCCGGGCGGGAGCGGCAGUGCAAGCGCCGCCGGAAGGACGUCCUCCUACGUCGGCUUGAACAUCAUGAACGGCUCCAUCUGCGUCGGACCAAAUCCGUCCGUAUUCUGCACGAGAGAUUGUACCAGUGAGUUUGCUGCAUCUACUAACGGCAGAGAAGGCGGCUGGCGUGGCGCUGGAUAUAAUCCAAAUUUUGAGAACGCUGACGAGUAUCCUCCACGGCCGGAACAUGUAGAAGCACCUUCUGCAAAAGAGAUUGAUUUGAAUGCUUUGGCUAACAAGAAUAACAGAGAACAGUACACUGUCGAAGACAAGCGUAAUAUUUACGCUAUGCUGCUUGCUCGAAAUGGAGAGCGUGGAAGGUUAAAGAAUGGGGUUUUGGAUUCUGUUGUACGUGAUGGAAAUUGUUCUCGGAGGUGUGUGAGUAGGAUUUGGAAAGAAACGAAGACAGGAGGUGGCGUUAACUCUAUCAAGAACAAUUUGAAGUUAAAAACGGGAAGGAAAAAAAUGAGUUUGGAUAUUGAGGCAUUAUAA